GGAGUUCACUAAAUACAAGGGUAAUUUUUGUGCUAACAGUGGGACGGAUCUUCGAAAGUCUGACGAAUCAAAGACCUUGCGGAACAGUGAUCCAUCAACAUCAGCUGGGCCUUCUAAUGACCUUGUGCCACCAAACUUUUGACUUUUAAAGAGUAUUUGGCAGAUAUUUCAUUUGCCACUGUUGAGACAAGGAAGCGUCAAGAUUGUUGUCUCCACGAAAAAGGGGAAGAAGAAUGAGACUGUCAAGUUGCUAAUGAAUUAGUUGAUGAUGUUGUGGAAGAGCAAUUAGAUUUGGAAGAAAUGAGACUAACAAAGACUCAAAAUGAAUAAUUGUGCACAGAAUCACAGCUUGGAGAAGAAUCACAUUCCACAACUUUGGUUUGAAUGUCAUCUAUUGAUUAUGCCACUUUAACACCACAUGCACUAGAGAACCUCCAAAAUUGUGAUGCUUUUGAGAUGAAUACUUCCCAAGGUGAAAGUUCUGAAGGGGCUACUUUUGUCCCAGAAAGUAUGGCAAAUGAGGUUAUUGAGCGAGAAGUG